AAUUUUGGACAAUGGGCGCAAGCCUGAUCCAGCCAUGCCGCGUGAGUGAAGAAGGCCUUCGGGUUGUAAAGCCCUUUCGCACGGAAAGAAAUCGCGCAGGCUAAUACCCUGCGCGGAUGACGGUACCUUCAUAAGCAGCCCCGCCUCACUACGUGCCUGCAGCCGCGGUAAUACGUAGGGUGCGAGCGUUAAUCGGAAUUACUGGGCGUAAAGCGGGCGCAGGCGGUUGAUGAAGACAGGCGUGAAAUCCCCGGGAUUAACCAGGGAACAGCGCUUGUGACAGGUCAGCUAGAGUACGGCAGAGGGGGGUGGAAUACCACGUGUAGCAGUGAAAAACGUAGAGAUGUGGAGGAACACCGAUGGCGAAGGCAGCGCCCUGGGCCGAUACUGACGCUCAUGCACGAAAGAGUGGGUAGCAAACAGG
rnacentral:rRNA from 1 species